rnacentral:rRNA from 1 species
UGCUGCUUCGCUGACGAGUGGCGGACGGGUGAGUAAUGUCUGGGAAACUGCCUGAUGGAGGGGGAUAACUACUGGAAACGGUAGCUAAUACCGCAUAAUGUCGCAAGACCAAAGAGGGGGACCUUAGGGCCUCUUGCCAUCGGAUGUGCCCAGAUGGGAUUAGCUUGUUGGUGGGGUAACGGCUCACCAAGGCGACGAUCCCUAGCUGGUCUGAGAGGAUGACC